rnacentral:rRNA from 1 species
AGAUUGAACGCUGGCGGAAUGCCUUACACAUGCAAGUCGAACGGCAGCACGGGAGCAAUCCUGGUGGCGAGUGGCGAACGGGUGAGUAAUACAUCGGAACGUGCCCAAUCGUGGGGGAUAACGUAGCGAAAGCUACGCUAAUACCGCAUACGAUCUACGGAUGAAAGCGGGGGACUCGCAAGGGCCUCGCGCGAAUGGAGCGGCCGAUGGCAGAUUAGGUAGUUGGUGGGUAAAGGCUCACCAAGCCUUCGAUCUGUAGCUGGUCUGAGAGGACGACCAGCCACACUGGACUGAGACACGCCCAGACUCCUACGGGAGCAGCAGUGGGAAUUUUGGACAAGUGGGCGCAAGCCUGAUCCAGCCAUCCGCGUGCAGGAUGAAGGCCUUCGGUUGUAAACUGUCUUUAGGUACGGAACGAAAAGACCGAUUUACCUAAGUAACGGUGUC